ensembl:misc_RNA
UUGAGUGAGUUAGAAACUGAUGUUCUCUGCCCACAGAAACGGUACCUCAGAAGUCACAACACAAGCUUUCACAUGCAGGUCUGUCAGAACAUCCACAGACCUUUUCUGAGGGACUACCUUUUACAGUAAAGAAAGACAUCGGUCUCUAUGCUGACUCAAUCAGUGGUUGCA